CGGGACGGGUGAGUAAUGUCUGGGAAACUGCCCGAUGGAGGGGGGUAACUACUGGAAACGGUAGCUAUACCGCAUAACGUCGCAAGACCAAAGAGGGGGACCUUCGGGCCUCUUGCCAUCGGAUGUGCCCAGAUGGGAUUAGCUAGUAGGUGGGGUAAUGGCUCACCUAGGCGACGAUCCCUAGCUGGUCUGAGAGGAUGACCAGCCACACUGGAACUGAGACACGGUCCAG
rnacentral:rRNA from 1 species